rnacentral:misc_RNA from 1 species
CAGGCGGUUAUAACUUGGGAGGGUCCUGAUGGAGAAUUCGUCAUGAAGAUGAGCCAUCCAUACAGAAACGUCUGCUGUGUAAUACUUUGUAUUGAUAGUCCACCCAUGGGCGAGUACUUCAAAUGAUGAAUCGGAAGCAUCUUCAAAAUCCACCGACAGUAAUCGAGAGAGAAGAGUGCGUUUGCCAACGUUGGAGGAUCCGAUCAUGAAGAUGCC